CAUAUCUACAUUUACCAAACUCUAGAGUUCAUGGAACUAGAAUUUUCCAAAAUGGCGGAUCAUCAAAGGCUUUGAGAGAGGAGUUACUAAAGAAAAUAAUUAACUUUUAAUUAUAUUUGUAAAUUUAUUUGGAUAAAACAUCACACCACGAAGGCCAAAGGAAUCAGACUCUAUAUGAAUGUAUAAGGAUUUAUGAGUACUCAGCACGUCAUCUAGUACACCAGAACUAGUCAAAAGCUCAAGAUAUCUAAACAAGCAGACCAGAUAAUUAUGGCAAUGAUGCCUCAAGAACUCUAAUAAGGACUGGGCAGGAAGUGAUUCCCCCUACCCACCAGAGUACCAUUUCUUGAUGCCCUCCCUACCCACCAGAGUACCAUUUUUUUUAUAGUAUCCACAUCACUCCACUGGCCUGUCUGCUGAUGUCUACUUUUAGGACAUGUGGACUGUGUCCUAAACCUAGCCUGCCUUGCUGCUAAGGGAUUACAAUUCACAUAUUCAUCCAAGGAUAACUUCUUGGAUGCAGCCAGGAUGCAAAUAAAGCCCAGUUU